UCUACGGGAGGCAGCAGUGGGGAAUAUUGCACAAUGGAGGAAACUCUGAUGCAGCGACGCCGCGUGAGUGAAGAAGGUCUUCGGAUCGUAAAACUCUGUCCUUGGUGAAGAAAAGGACGGUAGCCAAGGAGGAAGCCCCGGCUAACUACGUGCCAGCAGCCGCGGUAAUA
rnacentral:rRNA from 1 species